GUGAAUCAUCGAAUCUUUGAACGCAAAUUGCACUCUCUUCGGAGAGUAUGCCUGUUUGAGGGUCAGCCUAAAAAAAAUCGACAUCGUUGCUGUUUUGCGGUGGAGUUCGUCGGAAAUUGGGUUAUCUUAAAUCUUUGGAUUAAGCGAAUUAAAAUUUUCUUUACGAUUUCAUGAACGUAUCUAAGUUUUAUUUCUUUAUACGUUUAAGGUCUCGUAUUUAUUAGGCGUGGUCGUCAUAUAGGAUCAUGUUCCUAUAUUUUCGUAAAUUUUGACCACACAU
rnacentral:misc_RNA from 1 species